rnacentral:rRNA from 1 species
AGCGCAGGUGGUUUUAUUAAGUCUGGUGUAAAAGGCAGUGGCUCAACCAUUGUAUGCAUUGGAAACUGGUAGACUUGAGUGCAGGAGAGGAGAGUGGAAUUCCAUGUGUAGCGGUGAAAUGCGUAGAUAUAUGGAGGAACACCGGUGGCGAAAGCGGCUCUCUGGCCUGCAACUGACACUGAGGCUCGAAAGGCGUGGGAGCAAACA